GACGAACGCUGGCGGCGUGCUUAACACAUGCAAGUCGAACGGUAAGGCCCUGUACUUGUGGCGUGCUCGAGUGGCGAACGCGUGAGUAUCACGUGUGUAACCUGCCCCUUACUUUGGGAUACAUUCAGGAAACUGGGGUUAUUACCGCAUAGGAACUCUUGAUGCACGAUGGGGGUGGGUAAGUUUCGGCGGUUGGGGAUGGACGCGCGGCCUAUCAGCGUGUUGGCGAGGUAGUGGCGUACAAAGGCAUUGACGGGUAGCCGGACUGGGAGGGUGACCGGCCACAUAGGGACUGAGAUACGAGCCAGACUGCUACGGGAGGCAGCGGUGGAGAAUAGUGCGCGAUGGGCGGAAGCCGGAUGCAGCAACGCCGCGUGGGGGAUGACGGCCUUCGGGUUGGAAACCGCGUUCGCCUGUGACGAAGCGUGAGUGACGGUAAUGGGUAAAGAAGCACCGGCUAACUACGUG
rnacentral:rRNA from 1 species